rnacentral:rRNA from 1 species
ACCCCGGCGAGGGGAGUGAAAAAGAACCUGAAACCGUGUACGUACAAGCAGUGGGAGCCCCACCACUAAGCCAGUGGUGAACUCCACAUACGCAUCCUUUGCUGAAGGCAAUGGUUAACGGAGCGAAAGCGACGUUCAACCGCAAAACAAGCAGAGGGGGCUUAGUGGUGGGGUGACUGCGUACCUUUUGUAUAAUGGGUCAGCGACUUAUAUUCUGUAGCAAGGUUAACCGUAUAGGGGAGCCGGAGGGAAACCGAGUCUUAAUUGGGCGUUAAGUUGCAGGGUAUAGACCCGAAACCCGGUGAUCUAGCCAUGGGCAGGUUGAAGGUUGGGUAACACUAACUGGAGGACCGAACCGACUAAUGUUGAAAAAUUAGCGGAUGACCUGUGGCUGGGGGUGAAAGGCCAAUCAAACCGGGAGAUAGCUGGUUCUCCCCGAAAGCUAUUUAGGUAGCGCCUCGUGAAUUCAUCUCCGGGGGUAGAGCACUGUUUCGGCUAGGGGGCCAUCCCGGCUUACCAACCCGAUGCAAACUGCGAAUACCGGAGAAUGUUAUCACGGGAGACACACGGCGGGUGCUAACGUCCGUCGUGAAGAGGGAAACAACCCAGACCGCCAGCUAAGGUCCCAAAGUCAUGGUUAAGUGGGAAACGAUGUGGGAAGGCCCAGACAGCCAGGAUGUUGGCUUAGAAGCAGCCAUCAUUUAAAGAAAGCGUAAUAGCUCACUGGUCGAGUCGGCCUGCGCGGAAGAUGUAACGGGGCUAAACCAU